rnacentral:tRNA from 1 species
GCCGCCGGGCACGGUGAGACCGUCGGUGAUGGAGUCACCGAGCGUCAUCACACGGACGCCGCCGUUGGACUCGGCGCUGGCCGCGCCA